ensembl:snRNA
GUGUCAUAUGAAAGGAGAGAAGGUUAGCACUCCCUUGACAAUGCUGAAAGGGGCCCUCAGCCUGACAACAUGCAUAUGGUUAAGAUGUUGCCACCUACUUCAUGACAAUGCCUUAAAGUUAA